rnacentral:rRNA from 1 species
GAUUAGAUACCCUAGUAUAAAAAGUGUUAUAAAUUAGUAUAUUAGAAAUUUAAUAAUUUUGGCGGUUAAAUGUUUGUUUGGAGGAGCUUGUUUUUAGAAUUUGCUCUUUAUAUUUUAUAUAUAAAUUUGUUUAUUCAUCUCCGUUAUUAAUAAUUAUAAAUAUUAAAAAUUUUAUUUUAUAUUUCAGGUCAAUAUGUAGCCUUUAUUUAAAAAAAUUAGCUACAAUUUAGAAUAAGAUGGAUUAAGCGUAUAUAAAUAUAUUAGGAAAGUGAAUUUAGUUGUAAUAAUAAUUAGAAUAUUAUUAUGAAAUUUUAAUAUUAAUGUUCAUAUUGCCCGUCACUUCUAUUGUUGAGAUAGGAUAAGUCGUAACAAAGUA